rnacentral:misc_RNA from 1 species
UUUCUCUGUUCAAAACUCCUCCCAAAGCACAAGGGAUGAGAACGUCACAUUCAUGCGUUAGCAAUUCAUCAGAAUUCAUCACAUCCGCACCAGCAAAAUCGAUGAGCUUUCCUGUUUUUUCUUUAUGACUGAGUAAAGCUGGUAUAUCGAUCCCAUUGGAGUUCUUGAUCGCUCCAGUUAUGUCACUCACUGCAACUACCUUUCCACCUCUCUCAUG